rnacentral:sRNA from 1 species
AAAGUCCUGGCCUCGGGACAGCCUGCACAGCUGCCCAGCCUGUGGAGACGGGACAGCCCUGUCCCACUCACUCUUUCCCCUGCCGCUCCUGCCGGCAGCUCCAACCAUGGGAGGCCGCGUCUUUCUCGCAUUCUGUGUCUGGCUGACUCUGCCGGGAGCUGAAACCCAGGACUCCAGGGGCUGUGCCCGGUGGUGCCCUCAGAACUCCUCGUGUGUCAAUGCCACCGCCUGUCGCUGCAGUCCAGGGUUCAGCUCUUUUUCUGAGAUCAUCACCACCCCCACGGAGACUUGUGACGACAUCAACGAGUGUGCAACACCAUCGAAAGUGUCAUGCGGAAAAUUCUCGGACUGCUGGAACACAGAGGGGAGCUACGACUGCGUGUGCAGCCCGGGAUAUGAGCCUGUUUCUGGGGCAAAAACAUUCAAGAAUGAGAGCGAGAACACCUGUCAAGUGCUUUGGGAGGCUGAGGCGGGAGGAUCUCUUGAGGCCAGGAGUUCAAGACCAGCCCAUAGCAACAUAGCAAGACCCCACCCCUAUAAAAGGGGAGGCGAAG